rnacentral:lncRNA from 1 species
UGGUUGUAUUCAUGAUGCAGUCCUUGAUGGUUCAGAUUUCCCAAAGGAGAAGAAGGAGGUGCCGAAAGAGGAUGGGAGCGACAAGUAUGAUUCGAAGAGUAUGUUUUGUUGCGUAUCUUCUAUGGAAUGUUGUUGCUAGUAACAAAGCAUGCCUUCUCUUUGGUUCCUUUAUAUGGAAGUAACAUCAAAUUGGGAUAUGUGAACUCUUCGACGCUUUGUGGGUCUCUUUAGUCUCUCCGGUUAAUAUAACAUUCAUUAUUAUUUUUAACAUUAUUUGUCUUUCACCUGGAGAUUCAUUCUUUCUGGUUGUUUAGAAAUGACAAAUAGAUGUAGCUCAGUCUGAGCAUGAGUGAUAGCAGUCUUGCAGCUUAUGUUUACCAUGCAAAUUUUACUUGGAAGAAAUGUUGAUGGUUGUUUCUAUGUUUUCAGUGGAAUCAGUUUUCUUCACCCCAUGGGAGAAGUUAGAAGUGGUAUUCUCGGGAGUUCCCACCAACUGGUUUGAUGUAUGUUGGAAUAGGUAUUCUUGCCCACUGUGGUUAUCCAACAUGUUAGUCCAUUACAUGAUUCAUUAUUUACACAUUAGUAUUUUAUCGACGACUGUUAGUGUUAGGGACUGAGAAUACUUUUUACUCUAUGAUGACCACGUCCAGUCAAGACUGAAAUUGACAUAUCUUUCUUCCAUCUAUAUGUUAGAUGGAUAAUUUUAAUUUAGUUAGUUCAUGUGUGCUUGGCAAUUCAACCAGUUAUAUUUGAGACUGAGGUCGAGCAUUCACAUAUGCACUUCAGAGUUUCUCCUAGGUUCCCGCCUCCCAAGCAUUCUAUUUGUGAAUAUUGAAUGAUAGUGCAUUAGGAGUAGUAAAUGAUCUGCAGUUGAUGUUAUGCAUAUUGAGGAGAUGAAACUAAAAAUGACAUUAUACACACCAUCAAUGUUUAAGGUGUGGACAUCAGGCUCCAGUAUUCCGUAUGCAUCUUCGUCGUGGUCGUUGGCUAAAAACAUUUUUCUGGCACAAAUGAGUAAACAAAAGAGAUGGAUCCUUUUUAUGUACAAGGUGGUACCACAAAAACAUACCAAUUUGAUUAUGAUUGGUUUGAACCGCAUCUGGGAUGGUUCCAUCACUGGACUAAUGUCAUUGCGUUGGAUCGGUAGAGGUGUCUUGCCAUAAGAAGGCUCUGUAACUGAAUCAACAAUAGAAGGGAAAAAUGAACAAGAAAUAAACACCAAAUAAUUUAGCACCAUUAAUAAAUCAGACAACUAACCCUUUUUUAAACACUCUUCUGGCAUACACAGGUUGUCGAUUGUACUGAAUUGGGGGUUCUCAUCCAGUGACAUUUGUGUGAGUGUCAGUCCUCUUGAAUUCCAUUGCAUCUGGUAUGCAUCAUUUCUGUGCAACCAAUCAGACUCAUUGUCCACAUUGUCUCUGUUGACAUGAACGGAAUUUGGUACUGCACCCCCUGUACUUGUUAUGUUCUGUAGUUGUGUGACUGCAGAUUGUCCGGUAGCCGGCACUUGUGUUACAAUGUUACUGCCAUCAAGGACGGCAGCAAUAUGCUUAUUUUGCUCACGGGCUUGUUGUUGUCGCUUUAAUAUUUCCUCUCUAUUUUGUGCAUACUGCUCCCUUUACAUCAGAUUCUUAAUCUCAUUACGGCCUGAGUAGAUGAAGAAUAGAUCAUUAUACAACAAUAUAACUGGGCCAUGUAGGAUGAAGUUCAUCUUCAUUACCUUGUGAUACACCCAGUUGUGUUUGUGCCCCACUGAUCUCGGCAAAGGCAAUUUUCUCCUGUUUGUAGGCCUCACGCCGUCUCUUAUUAAUCUCAUCCUUAUUUUGUGCAUACCACUCUCUAUCCCUCUGCCUUUUUUACUUCUUUAGGGUCUGCAAUCAAUGGCACAAUCCAACAGUUGAGCUUAAAAAACUAAAAUUGGGUGCUUGUGUGUUUCUUAUAUCCUGGAACAGGGUGCGCAUCCCAUUGGGAUUGGUCGGGGCCAUACAAAGUCCUUCAACCAUGUGAAUGUCAAGAAUGUUAUCACACAAUUGUAUGGUACAAUUCAGUAGUUCAGCUUAAAAACUGAAAUUGGGUGCUUGUGUAAUACUCAUCACCCAAGGAUUGGGUGUUGCUUAUAUCCUGGAACGGGGUGUGCGUCCAAUUGGGAUUAGUCGGAGCCAUACAAAGUCCUUCAACCAUGUGAAUGUCAAGAAUGUUAUCACACAAUUGUAACGGAAGGAAUAGUAUUAGCACAACGUAGAUAGAGCACAAUUUUAUGUUCAACUCCAUCCCAUUGUUUACCAUCAAAGCUUUCUUAUGAUGCCUCUGCAGCUCAUCGUCGCGGCCAUCGUCGGGUGCCUCGGCGGCUGCGCAGGACUGCGAAGGCGCACGUAAGCUGGACGCCUGGAUUGAUUCCCUAGAUAUACUCCCACUAAUUUAGCACAUUUUUGUUUUCGUAUAUGACUCUCCAUGUAAAUUGGACAUGGGUUGUUUCCUUUGUGCGGGCGUGGGCUGUUCGCUGGUGCGGGCGUUGCCAGAGUUUUCGUCCGCCCUGGAAAUCUGCUAAGCGCACUUCGGUUGUGGGUUGGUGUAAUCGUGAUGGCUAGAUCUAAUUAAGCGAUUUGAUCGUGAGGCUCCAAUUAAUCGGGAAUGUUAUGCGUAGAUUAGGCUGGGUGCGUUUAGCGUUGAAUAUGUUCCCUUGUUUAAUAGUAGUAGAGAUGUGAGCAUCAUUGAAAUCAUCAUGCCUAGCUAGGGGCGUUAAACGAUAGCGCUUGUUGGGAGGCAACCCAAUCUUAUUCUUGUUCUUUACUUUUU